rfam:Fimbriimonas ginsengisoli Gsoil 348, complete genome.
CUGGGUGACCAUGGCGAGGAGGUCACACCCGUUCCCAUUCCGAACACGGCCGUUAAGCUCCUCAGCGUCGGAAGUAGUUGGUCCGCAGGGGCCCGCGAGAUAAGGGCGUCGCCCAGU